GUGGGGAAUAUUGGACAAUGGGCGAAAGCCUGAUCCAGCCAUGCCGCGUGUGUGAAGAAGGUCUUCGGAUUGUAAAGCACUUUAAGUUGGGAGGAAGGGCAGUAAGUUAAUACCUUGCUGUUUUGACGUUACCGACAGAAUAAGCACCGGCUAACUUCGUGCCAGCAGCCGCGGUAAUACGAAGGGUGCAAGCGUUAAUCGGAAUUACUGGGCGUAAAGCGCGCGUAGGUGGUUUUGUAAGUUGGAGGUGAAAUCCCCGGGCUCAACCUGGGAACUGCCUCCAAAACUACAUGACUAGAGUACGGUAGAGGGUAGUGGAAUUUCCUGUGUAGCGGUGAAAUGCGUAGAUAUAGGAAGGAACACCAGUGGCGAAGGCGACUACCUGGACUGAUACUGACACUGAGGUGCGAAAGCGUGGGGAGCAAACAGGAUUAGAAACCCUGGUAGUCC
rnacentral:rRNA from 1 species